rnacentral:rRNA from 1 species
CCUACGGGUGGCAGCAGUGAGGAAUAUUGGUCAAUGGACGAGAGUCUGAACCAGCCAAGUAGCGUGAAGGAUGACUGCCCUAUGGGUUGUAAACUUCUUUUAUAUGGGAAUAACAUGUUCCACGUGUGGGAUUUUGUAUGUACCAUAUGAAUAAGGAUCGGCUAACUCCGUGCCAGCAGCCGCGGUAAUACGGAGGAUCCGAGCGUUAUCCGGAUUUAUUGGGUUUAAAGGGAGCGUAGGUGGAUUGUUAAGUCAGUUGUGAAAGUUUGCGGCUCAACCGUAAAAUUGCAGUUGAAACUGGCAGUCUUGAGUACAGUAGAGGUGGGCGGAAUUCGUGGUGUAGCGGUGAAAUGCUUAGAUAUCACGAAGAACUCCGAUUGCGAAGGCAGUUCACUGGACUGCAACUGACACUGAGGCUCGAAAGUGUGGGUAUCAAACAGGAGUAGAUACCCGUGUAGUC